rnacentral:rRNA from 1 species
CAGUAGCCGCGGGAAUUCAGAGGUCCCAAGCGUUGUUCGGAUUCAUUGGGCGUAAAGGGAGCGUAGGCGGUCGGGUAAGUUGGAUGUGAAAUCCUGGGGCUCAACCUCAGAACUGCAUUCGAUACUGCUUGGCUAGAGGACUGGAGAGGUGAGUGGAAUUCACGGUGUAGCAGUGAAAUGCGUAGAUACCGGGAGGAACGCCGAUGGCGAAGGCAGCCACCUGGUCCACUUCUGACGCUGAGGCGCGAAAGCGUGGGGAGCAAACCGGAUUAGAUACCCGCGUAGUCCCUGUCUCUUAUAC